ACUCCUACGGGAGGCAGCAGUGGGGAAUAUUGCACAAUGGGCGCAAGCCUGAUGCAGCCAUGCCGCGUGUAUGAAGAAGGCCUUCGGGUUGUAAAGUACUUUCAGCAGUGAGGAAGGUGGGUAUGUUAAUAGCAUAUCUUCAUUGACUGUUAGCUGCAGAAGAAGCACCGGCUAACUCCGUGCCAGCAGCCGCGGUAAUACGGAGGGUGCGAGCGUUAAUCGGAAUUACUGGGCGUAAAGCGCAUGCAGG
rnacentral:rRNA from 1 species